GUGCCAUAUACCCCAGCACACACAUCUGCACACACACUAGGACAGCACACAGAAUAAAACUGGAACAAUACAGAGAUGGUUAGUAUGGUUUCCGAGAAAUGGUGACAUGCAUAUUCAUAAGACACACCCUAUUUAA
ensembl:snRNA U6 U6 spliceosomal RNA